CAUAUACUCCCUCCGUCUGAAAAAGCUUGUCCCUCAAAUGAAUGUAUCUAGCAUCGAGUUAGUGCUAGAUACAUUCAUUUGAGGCACAAGUUUGGGACAAGUUUUUUCGAACGGAGGGAGUAUAAU
rfam:Triticum urartu cultivar G1812 contig627595, whole genome shotgun sequence.